AAACUAACAAGGAUUCCCCUAGUAACGGCGAGUGAAGCGGGAAGAGCUCAAAUUUGAAAUCUGGUAGCCUUCGGUUGCCCGAGUUGUAAUCUAGAGAAGUGUUUUCCGUGCCGGCCCAUGUACAAGUCCCUUGGAACAGGGCGUCAUAGAGGGUGAGAAUCCCGUCCUUGACAUGGACCCCCGGUGCUUUGUGAUACACUUUCAACGAGUCGAGUUGUUUGGGAAUGCAGCUCAAAAUGGGUGGUGAAUUCCAUCUAAAGCUAAAUAUUGGCGAGAGACCGAUAGCGAACAAGUACCGUGAGGGAAAGAUGAAAAGCACUUUGGAAAGAGAGUUAAACAGUACGUGAAAUUGUUGAAAGGGAAACGAUUGAAGUCAGUCAUGCUCUUGGGACUUACCUCCCUUGAGUGGGGUCAACAUCAGUUUUGAUCGAUGGAUAAAGGCACUAGGAAGGUAGCACUCUCGGGUGAACUUAUAGCCUAGCGUCAUAUACAUUGAUUGGGACUGAGGAACGCAGCAUGCCUUUUGGCCGGGAUUCGUCCACGUACAUGCUUAGGAUGUUGACAUAAUGGCUUUAAACGAC
rnacentral:rRNA from 1 species